ACUCCUACGGGAGGCAGCAGUAGGGAAUUUUCCGCAAUGGACGAAAGUCUGACGGAGCAAUGCCGCGUGAGUGAUGAAGGUUUUCGAAUCGUAAAGCUCUGUUGUAAGGGAAGAAUAGCNGUUGGUAGGAAAUGACAACCUGUGUACGGGNACCUUUACCCGAAAAAGCCCACGGCUAACUACGUGCCAGCAGCCGCGGUAAUACGUAGGUGGCAAGCGUUAUCCGGAAUUAUUGGGCGUAAAGCGCAUGUAGGCGGCUCUUUAAGUCUGAUGUGAAAGCCUGUGGCUCAACCACAGAAUUGCAUUGGAUACUGGAGAGCUAGAAUCUUGG
rnacentral:rRNA from 1 species